UGGAGAGGUGGUCCAGGGUUACGUAAA
rnacentral:sRNA from 1 species